GCUGGGCGUGGUGGUGCACGCCUGUAAUCCCAGCUACUUGGGAGGCUGAGGCAGGAGAAUCACUUGAACCCAGGAGGCGGAGGUUGCAGUGAGCCAAGAUCACGCCACUGCACUUCAGCCUGGGCAACAGAGUGAGCCUCCGUCUCAA
rnacentral:SRP_RNA from 1 species